rnacentral:lncRNA from 1 species
AUUCCUCCAGUGCCACUGGUUUAGGGUCUCCCCGACCAAGCUGUUCCCGGCCUGCUUUCCAGAGCUGUGACUUUCACAAGUGUUUUUCCAAUGGUUUAACUUUUUAUUUUUUUCUGCUGUCUACUUCUUUUUCCAGACACAGAGUUCCAGAAUGCUGUUUUAUCUUUCUUCCUUCUUAGUUGAAAUAAAACUAGUAUUAGAUUUAGAACUGUGUUCUGUCAAAGUCUUUUCCCUUGGGAAACUUGCCUUUAUUAUGAUCAAGUUUCUGGGAAUAUUGCACAAUGAUUACUCUUCUCUCCCUAACAGAGCCAUGAGAUCAUCAUUGGAUCUUCACUGUGAGAAACCAGUGGUAUUCUUGGAGGAUAUUCACCCUUGGAAUCAAGACACCAUACUGUGAGUAUGCCAAGCAGCCACAUGGAAAGGCCAAUAGAGCUGUUCCAAGCACAGCCUCAGCUAGGUCCCAGGAGAUGACCAGCAUCAAGCACCAGACAAGAUAGCACAUAAGAAAAGAAACAACUUGCUGCAAUGCCGAAAUGCCCUCUGCUUGUGAGAUGAAAAACAACUGGCUGAAAUUGGUAGGAACUAAGAUGGCUGACUGGAGUUUGUGCAGAAGGAGCUUACUGACGUCACAGUCUGAAUUUCCACCACGUGUUUCACGCUAACUCCCCCUGAAUUUGCACAUGCAACCCAUGAGUUACCAUGAACUGCACAUGUCCAAGGACUUUCCAGACCUCCCCUUUCCUUCUACCAAUCACCUACUAAUCUCAGAAUCCAUCCCCUGAACCAUUUCUAAUAAAAAGACUGCAUUGAAG